AUCUGGGCGGCGGAAUUCAGGACGACGAGCGUGUCUGGGAAGGCGCGUUUAUCGUUUGAUAUUUCCGUCGCCAAACACAAUGCAGACGUCGCGACCUGUUCGCGGUCGGUCCCUGCUCGGAGGAGCCGCGUUCGAGUUCGUUGUGCGUCGCGUUUCGGCGCGUCACACGGCGAAGGCGCGGACAAUCUCUGGCUGGCCGUCGGACAGUACGCUAAACGGUGUCCGGUGUCGUCGUCUUAUGUACGCGCGCGCAUCGGUACCGGUCGGCGACGAAUUCUUCGGGCCUCUUUCCGACCCGUCUUGAAACACGGACCAAGGAGUCUAACAUGCGCGCGAGUCGCGGGGUGUCGAGCGUAUCACGGUACGUUCGUUACGUUGCGAAACCCGUACAUGUUGAAGGCGUAAUGAAAGUGAAUAGGGAAGAUGGUGUUCCGAGUACACGUUCCGCGAUCGCUGGUAUCGCGGCCGGACACCCGCAUUCCCGGGGCGUCUCAACGGCCCGUCACGGAUGCGGACGAUCGUCUCUCGGGGCGACCGUCGGUCCGCGAUGAACCGAGGCGCACCCAUAGCGUGCACGUUGGUACCCGAAAGAUGGUGAACUAUGCCUGGCCAGGAUGAAGUCAGGGGAAACCCUGAUGGAGGUCCGCAGCGAUUCUGACGUGCAAAUCGAUCGUCUGAGCUGGGUAUAGGGGCGAAAGACUAAUCGAACCAUCUAGUAGCUGG
rnacentral:rRNA from 1 species